rnacentral:rRNA from 1 species
AUACGGAGGGUGCAAGCGUUAUUCUGAAUCACUGGGCGUAAAGGACGCGUAGGCGGGUUGGCAAGUCAGAUGUGAAAUCCUACAGCUUAACUGUAGAACUGCAUUUGAAACUGCUAACCUAGAGUAUGGGAGGGGGAGAUGGAAUUAGUGGUGUAGGAGUAAAAUCCGUAGAUAUCACUAGGAAUACCGAAAGCGAAGGCGAUCUCCUGGAACAUAACUGACGCUAAGGCGUGAAAGCGUGGGGAGCAAACAGGAUUAGAAACCCUAGUAGUCC